GAGUUUGAUCUUGGCUCAGGAUGAACGCUGGCGGCGUGCCUAACACAUGCAAGUCGAACGGAGUUUAUGAGGAAGAAGCUUCGGCGGAAUUCUUAUAAACUUAGUGGCGGACGGGUGAGUAACACGUGGAGAACCUGCCUCUUACCGGGGGACAGCAGUUGGAAACGACUGAUAAUACCGCAUAAGCGCACGAGACCGCAUGGUCCUGUGUGAAAAGAUUUAUCGGUAAGAGAUGGCUCCGCGUCUGAUUAGCCAGUUGGCGGGGUAACGGCCCACCAAAGCGACGAUCAGUAGCCGGCCUGAGAGGGUGAACGGCCACAUUGGGACUGAGACACGGCCCAGACUCCUACGGGAGGCAGCAGGUGGGGGUAUUGCACAAUGGAGGAAACUCUGAUGCAGCGACGCCGCGUGAGUGAAGAAGUAUUUCGGUAUGUAAAGCUCUAUCAGCAGGGAAGAAAGACCUACGAAA
rnacentral:rRNA from 1 species